rnacentral:rRNA from 1 species
UACGUAGGGGGCAAGCGUUGUCCGGAAUCAUUGGGCGUAAAGAGCGUGUAGGCGGCCCGGUAAGUCCGCUGUGAAAGUCGAGGGCUCAACCCUCGAAUGCCGGCGGAUACUGUCGGGCUAGAGUCCGGAAGAGGCGAGUGGAAUUCCUGGUGUAGCGGUGAAAUGCGCAGAUAUCAGGAGGAGCACCUACGGCGAAGGCAGCUCGCUGGAACGGUACUGACGCUGAGGCGCGAAAGCGUGGGGAGCAAACAGG